UACCUGUGUUCCCCUCUCAGCACUGGUCCA
rnacentral:piRNA from 1 species